AUGUACACUGCGGGCAUGGAGUUCCUACUGGAUGCAGUUGACAGGUUCCCAAUAAGAGAGGAAUUCGCCAACAACCUUGGGCAGCCGGAUCCCGUUCCACUGCAUUUCCUGCUGGAGAAUGGUGGGAGGAGGGGAAAUGUGGAUGGUGCAGAUUCAGACGGUGGAUCUGCUUUGGCUGAGAAUGUUGGGGGAGAUGGAGAUGGUGCUGCGGUAGUAGGGUCUCGCCGUAAACAUGCUGCUUCUCCGACGAGGUCAGCACAGUCAAGUGACAGGGUGAAUCCGGAGGCGCCUGGCUGGACAAAACGGCUUCGCCUUGGCAGUGCGACACCGGACAGGGUCCCAUGCCCAUCCCGGAUGAGUGCACUCGAGCUUUUGAUGCGCAAGUAUCCAGAGUAG
rnacentral:rRNA from 1 species